CUGACGAGUGGCGGACGGGUGAGUAAUGCUUGGGAAUCUGGCUUAUGGAGGGGGAUAACUACGGGAAACUGUAGCUAAUACCGCGUAAUAUCGAAAGAUUAAAGUGUGGGACCUUCGGGCCACAUGCCAUAGGAUGAGCCCAAGUGGGAUUAGGUAGUUGGUGGGGUAAGGGCUUACCAAGCCUGCGAUCUCUAGCUGGUCUGAGAGGAUGGCCAGCCACACUGGAACUGAGACACGGUCCAGACUCCUACGGGAGGCAGCAGUGGGGAAUAUUGCGCAAUGGGGGGAACCCUGACGCAGCCAUGCCGCGUGAAUGAAGAAGGCCUUCGGGUUGUAAAGUUCUUUCGGUAUUGAGGAAGGGAUGUGUGCUAAUAGUACACAUCAUUGACGUUAAAUACAGAAGAAGCACCGGCUAACUCCGUGCCAGCAGCCGCGGUAAUACGGAGGGUGCGAGCGUUAAUCGGAAUAACUGGGCGUAAAGGGCACGCAGGCGGUUAUUUAAGUGAGGUGUGAAAGCCCCGGGCUUAACCUGGGAAUUGCAUUUCAGACUGGGUAACUAGAGUACUUUAGGGAGGGGUAGAAUUCCACGUGUAGCGGU
rnacentral:rRNA from 1 species